AAGCAAGUGAAGUCCAUGGCGACGGAGGAACUCCUUAGUGAACAAACCAAAGUCAUUGGCUCCUUUUGCUUCAGAAAUAGCUGUAACUUUCUCUGGCUCUGCUUCAAUUUCGACUUGCAACACCUUGGACAUGUCGUUAGCUGCCUGUUUCAAGUUCUUGGCGACCAAGGCAGUGUAACGGGCAGUUUCAGGCAUCUUCAUACGCCAGUAAUAAGUAAGUCCAGCAGGGAUUGCACCAAACAUGAGAAUUAUACGCCACACGAAAUCAGCCUGAGGGACUGUUGAACCAAUAGCAUCAACCUCAUAUGCUGGUGCAGGGAAUGCGCCCUUGAAUGCUGCAGAAACAAUGAUUGCCACCAUUCCACCAGCCAGAAUUCCGAAACCUUGCAUAGCAAACACAGCAGCAAUGAACGCUCCACGGGUCUUUUUGUUAGCAUACUCAGACAUGAUGGUGGCAGAAAGGGGAUAAUCACCACCAAUGCCAAAUCCUAGCCAGAAUCUGAAGAAACAAAGCGUAGUCAUAACACCUUUUGGUGUAUGGCCAAAUGAAAGCCCCGAGGCAAUUGAACAAAUGACCAUAAUCAUAAGGGUCAUUCCAUAGACUUUCUUCCUUCCCAUUUUAUCUCCAAGCCACCCGAAGAACAACUGUCCAGCAAGGGUGCCACAGAAGGCGACUCCAUUAACAGCUGCUGAAACAUUAGGGGGCAGAGAGCCAGGUUUCAAUGCACCGUCAUGAUGGUAGUAAAGACGACCAAGCAAUUUAGUGACCAUAGAAAUGCAGAAAAGGUCAUAAGCAUCAGUAAAAAAACCCAUGCCAGCAAUCACA
rnacentral:misc_RNA from 1 species